rnacentral:rRNA from 1 species
UACAGAGACCUCAAGCGUUAUCCGGAAUCAUUGGGCGUAAAGCGUACCGAUAGGUGGUUUAGAAAGUUUUGGGUAAAAGCCAGAAGCUCAACUUCUGAGUUUGCUCAAAAUACUUCUCAACUAGAGGGGCAAAGAGGUCCUUGGAACGAACGGUGUAGUAGGGAAAUGCGUUGAUAUCGUUCGGAACACCGAAAGCGAAGGCAGAGGACUGGGUGCCACCUGACACUACUAGGACGAAAGCGUGGGGAGCGAAUGGG